UAGAGAGAGAAGGAAGGAAGAACAAGUUCUUCAUAACCUAAAAUCUGCAAUUCUAACAAAUUGAAGGGUGAAAUCCAUGCCAAUCUUAUGCAUGAGCCUUAAUAAGUAAUCAUCUAUGCUUGUUUAACAUAAGGUGUGAAAGAAGAAGGCCCGAGUAACAAGAAAGCACAAGGUGUUCAAGAUUGAGGUACGUUACUUGUACGAUUAAAGUUUACUUGUAGUAAUGUUUAUUGAUAUAUAUUGUGGUAUUCGUAAUACGUUAAAGAAUGAUCAUGUAAUAGACCCAUUACGAAUGGUCAACGAACUAGAAUGAAAUGUUUAAUAUGGUCAUACAGUUGAUCUGGUACGAACAGGUCAACAAACUAGAAUGAAAUGUUUAAUAUGGGCAUACAGUUGAUCCGGUAUGAACAGGUCAAUGGACUAGAAUGAAAUGUUUAAUUUGGUCA